rnacentral:rRNA from 1 species
AGUGAACGCUGGCGGUAGGCCUAACACAUGCAAGUCGAACGGCAGCACAGUAAGAGCUUGCUCUUACGGGUGGCGAGUGGCGGACGGGUGAGGAAUACAUCGGAAUCUACUUUUUCGUGGGGGAUAACGUAGGGAAACUUACGCUAACACCGCAUACGACCUACGGGUGAAAGCAGGGGAUCUUCGGACCUUGCGCGAUUGAAUGAGCCGAUGUCGGAUUAGCUAGUUGGCGGGGUAAAGGCCCACCAAGGCGACGAUCCGUAGCUGGUCUGAGAGGAUGAUCAGCCACACUGGAAAUGAGACACGGUCCAGACUCCUACGGGAGGCAGCAGUGGGGAAUAUUGGACAAUGGGCGCAAGCCUGAUCCAGCCAUACCGCGUGGGUGAAGAAGGCCUUCGGGUUGUAAAGCCCUUUUGUUGGGAAAGAAAAGCAGCAGGUUAAUACCCCGCUGUUCUGACGGUACCCAAAGAAUAAGCACCGGCUAACUUCGUG